rnacentral:rRNA from 1 species
UACAGAGGGUGCAAACGUUGCUCGGAAUUAUUGGGCGUAAAGAGCUCGUAGGCGGCUUGUCACGUCGGAUGUGAAAGCCCGGGGCUUAACCCCGGGUCUGCAUUCGAUACGGGCUAGCUAGAGUGUGGUAGGGGAGAUCGGAAUUCCUGGUGUAGCGGUGAAAUGCGCAGAUAUCAGGAGGAACACCGGUGGCGAAGGCGGUUCUCUGGGCAUGUCCUGACGCUGAGGAGCGAAAGUGUGGGGAGCGAACAGG